rfam:Schistosoma rodhaini strain Burundi genome assembly, scaffold: SROB_scaffold0012463
AUCCAGAUGACGAGUCCCAAAUAGGACGAAACGCGGGUCCUGGAU